AAAAAUAGAUGGGUUAUUUUUUUAACCCAAUAGAUGGGUUACACAUAUUGGGUCACUAUGUUGGGUUAUUUUCUAAAACGUUGGGUUAUUUUUUAAACAUCGUUGGGUUGUUUUUAAUAAUAACCCAGCGUUGGGUUUAAUUGGUUCCCGCGGCGACAGUUCAAAUUUUAACGGACGACGGUGACUGACGACAGAAGAAGCUGCUGCUGCAUCAGUAUGAGACAUUGGGUUCUUCAGUGAAGGGAAAACUACAACACUGGAAUCUCAUACAUUAAACAUCCACAUGCCAAUUAACUGAAAUAUUUCAAGAGGAAGGAGUGAAUGAAGGAAGUUUUAUGCGACCGGAUGACACCAGCAUUUCUGAACUCCAAGAACUCCUCCCAAGUUUUAGCAUUUUCAACAGUGAAGUAGUGGAACAGAAGACCUUACUACAAGCAGUGGAUCUGUGUUUCAGACAUUUCUACAUG